rnacentral:rRNA from 2 species
UUAAGCGACUAAGCGUACACGGUGGAUGCCCUGGCAGUCAGAGGCGAUGAAGGACGUGCUAAUCUGCGAUAAGCGUCGGUAAGGUGAUAUGAACCGUUAUAACCGGCGAUUUCCGAAUGGGGAAACCCAGUGUGUUUCGACACACUAUCAUUAACUGAAUCCAUAGGUUAAUGAGGCGAACCGGGGGAACUGAAACAUCUAAGUACCCCGAGGAAAAGAAAUCAACCGAGAUUCCCCCAGUAGCGGCGAGCGAACGGGGAGCAGCCCAGAGCCUGAAUCAGUGUGUGUGUUAGUGGAAGCGUCUGGAAAGGCGCGCGAUACAGGGUGACAGCCCCGUACACAAAAAUGCACAUGCUGUGAGCUCGAUGAGUAGGGCGGGACACGUGGUAUCCUGUCUGAAUAUGGGGGGACCAUCCUCCAAGGCUAAAUACUCCUGACUGACCGAUAGUGAACCAGUACCGUGAGGGAAAGGCGAAAAGAACCCCGGCGAGGGGAGUGAAAAAGAACCUGAAACCGUGUACGUACAAGCAGUGGGAGCACGCUUAGGCGUGUGACUGCGUACCUUUUGUAUAAUGGGUCAGCGACUUAUAUUCUGUAGCAAGGUUAACCGAAUAGGGGAGCCGAAGGGAAACCGAGUCUUAACUGGGCGUUAAGUUGCAGGGUAUAGACCCGAAACCCGGUGAUCUAGCCAUGGGCAGGUUGAAGGUUGGGUAACACUAACUGGAGGACCGAACCGACUAAUGUUGAAAAAUUAGCGGAUGACUUGUGGCUGGGGGUGAAAGGCCAAUCAAACCGGGAGAUAGCUGGUUCUCCCCGAAAGCUAUUUAGGUAGCGCCUCGUGAAUUCAUCUCCGGGGGUAGAGCACUGUUUCGGCAAGGGGGUCAUCCCGACUUACCAACCCGAUGCAAACUGCGAAUACCGGAGAAUGUUAUCACGGGAGACACACGGCGGGUGCUAACGUCCGUCGUGAAGAGGGAAACAACCCAGACCGCCAGCUAAGGUCCCAAAGUCAUGGUUAAGUGGGAAACGAUGUGGGAAGGCCCAGACAGCCAGGAUGUUGGCUUAGAAGCAGCCAUCAUUUAAAGAAAGCGUAAUAGCUCACUGGUCGAGUCGGCCUGCGCGGAAGAUGUAACGGGGCUAAACCAUGCACCGAAGCUGCGGCAGCGACGCUGAUGCGUUGUUGGGUAGGGGAGCGUUCUGUAAGCCUGCGAAGGUGUGCUGUGAGGCAUGCUGGAGGUAUCAGAAGUGCGAAUGCUGACAUAAGUAACGAUAAAGCGGGUGAAAAGCCCGCUCGCCGGAAGACCAAGGGUUCCUGUCCAACGUUAAUCGGGGCAGGGUGAGUCGACCCCUAAGGCGAGGCCGAAAGGCGUAGUCGAUGGGAAACAGGUUAAUAUUCCUGUACUUGGUGUUACUGCGAAGGGGGGACGGAGAAGGCUAUGUUGGCCGGGCGACGGUUGUCCCGGUUUAAGCGUGUAGGCUGGUUUUCCAGGCAAAUCCGGAAAAUCAAGGCUGAGGCGUGAUGACGAGGCACUACGGUGCUGAAGCAACAAAUGCCCUGCUUCCAGGAAAAGCCUCUAAGCAUCAGGUAACAUCAAAUCGUACCCCAAACCGACACAGGUGGUCAGGUAGAGAAUACCAAGGCGCUUGAGAGAACUCGGGUGAAGGAACUAGGCAAAAUGGUGCCGUAACUUCGGGAGAAGGCACGCUGAUAUGUAGGUGAAGUCCCUUGCGGAUGGAGCUGAAAUCAGUCGAAGAUACCAGCUGGCUGCAACUGUUUAUUAAAAACACAGCACUGUGCAAACACGAAAGUGGACGUAUACGGUGUGACGCCUGCCCGGUGCCGGAAGGUUAAUUGAUGGGGUUAGCGCAAGCGAAGCUCUUGAUCGAAGCCCCGGUAAACGGCGGCCGUAACUAUAACGGUCCUAAGGUAGCGAAAUUCCUUGUCGGGUAAGUUCCGACCUGCACGAAUGGCGUAAUGAUGGCCAGGCUGUCUCCACCCGAGACUCAGUGAAAUUGAACUCGCUGUGAAGAUGCAGUGUACCCGCGGCAAGACGGAAAGACCCCGUGAACCUUUACUAUAGCUUGACACUGAACAUUGAGCCUUGAUGUGUAGGAUAGGUGGGAGGCUUAGAAGUGUGGACGCCAGUCUGCAUGGAGCCGACCUUGAAAUACCACCCUUUAAUGUUUGAUGUUCUAACGUUGACCCGUAAUCCGGGUUGCGGACAGUGUCUGGUGGGUAGUUUGACUGGGGCGGUCUCCUCCUAAAGAGUAACGGAGGAGCACGAAGGUUGGCUAAUCCUGGUCGGACAUCAGGAGGUUAGUGCAAUGGCAUAAGCCAGCUUGACUGCGAGCGUGACGGCGCGAGCAGGUGCGAAAGCAGGUCAUAGUGAUCCGGUGGUUCUGAAUGGAAGGGCCAUCGCUCAACGGAUAAAAGGUACUCCGGGGAUAACAGGCUGAUACCGCCCAAGAGUUCAUAUCGACGGCGGUGUUUGGCACCUCGAUGUCGGCUCAUCACAUCCUGGGGCUGAAGUAGGUCCCAAGGGUAUGGCUGUUCGCCAUUUAAAGUGGUACGCGAGCUGGGUUUAGAACGUCGUGAGACAGUUCGGUCCCUAUCUGCCGUGGGCGCUGGAGAACUGAGGGGGGCUGCUCCUAGUACGAGAGGACCGGAGUGGACGCAUCACUGGUGUUCGGGUUGUCAUGCCAAUGGCACUGCCCGGUAGCUAAAUGCGGAAGAGAUAAGUGCUGAAAGCAUCUAAGCACGAAACUUGCCCCGAGAUGAGUUCUCCCUGACCCUUUAAGGGUCCUGAAGGAACGUUGAAGACGACGACGUUGAUAGGCCGGGUGUGUAAGCGCAGCGAUGCGUUGAGCUAACCGGUACUAAUGAACCGUGAGGCUUAACCUU